rnacentral:rRNA from 1 species
UGGGGAAUCUUGCGCAAUGGGCGAAAGCCUGACGCAGCCAUGCCGCGUGAGUGAUGAAGGCCUUAGGGUUGUAAAACUCUUUCACCGGGGACGAUAAUGACGGUACCCGGAGAAGAAGCCCCGGCUAACUUCGUGCCAGCAGCCGCGGUAAUACGAAGGGGGCUAGCGUUGCUCGGAAUUACUGGGCGUAAAGGGCGCGUAGGCGGAUCAGCAAGUUGGGGGUGAAAGCCCGGGGCUCAACCUCGGAAUUGCCUUCAAAACUGCUGAUCUAGAGUACGGGAGAGGUGUGUGGAACUCCGAGUGUAGAGGUGAAAUUCGUAGAUAUUCGGAAGAACACCAGUGGCGAAGGCGACACACUGGCCCGUUACUGACGCUGAGGCGCGAAAGCGUGGGGAGCAAACAGGAUUAGAUACCCUGGUAGUCCACGCUGUAAACGAUGAUUGCUAGUUGUCGGCAGGCAUGCCUG